AAGUCGUAACAAGGUUUCCGUAGGUGAACCUGCGGAAGGAUCAUUAAACACAAAAAUGGUUUUACCCAAAACCAUUAUAAACCCGUGCACCCGUUUUGUUUGUACAAGUGGCCGGCAGCUUGCUGCCGGCUGCGGGGUUUUAUAGGGCUCUCUGCACACCGCGGAGAGUACCGGAACCCACUGUCGAACCAUUAACCCUUUGUAACCAAUUGUACUAACACACUCGAGCCUUUGAAAAAAGGACUCUAGCAAAAUUUUCGAACAACUCUUAGCAACGGAUAUCUAGGCUCUC
rnacentral:misc_RNA from 1 species